AAAUAGAAUUACUUCCUCAACAUUGUCUUUAGGUGGUGUGAUCUUCAUCAAAUCAAUUACUUAAUUUGUGGGGUUCGGAAGAAUCGGAAAGAUUUCCACUAAACUUUUUAAAUUGCUCCUCAAGUGUUGCUCCUUAUAUAGCUUUCGCGCUCCAACCAAUUAAUCUCCAAAAACAUAUUUAAAUAUGCAAAAUUUGGUUAAGCAGGAGAAAAGAA
rnacentral:lncRNA from 1 species